GCGUUGCUCGGAAUUACUGGGCGUAAAGGGCGCGUAGGCGGACAUUUAAGUCGGGGGUGAAAGCCCGGGGCUCAACCUCGGAAUUGCCUUCGAUGCUGGCUGUCUUGAGUACGGGAGAGGUGUGUGGAACUCCGAGUGUAGAGGUGGAAUGCGUAGACAUUCGGAAGAACACCAGUGGCGAAGGCGACAAGCGGGCCCGUUACUGACGCUGAGGCGCGAAAGCGUG
rnacentral:rRNA from 1 species